UGAGGAAUAUUGGUCAAUGGGCAAAAGCCUGAACCAGCCAAGUCGCGUGAGGGAAGACGGUCCUAUGGAUUGUAAACCUCUUUUGUCGGGGAGCAACGGCGCCACGUGUGGCGGAAGGGAGAGUACCCGAAGAAAAAGCAUCGGCUAACUCCGUGCCAGCAGCCGCGGUAAUACGGAGGAUGCGAGCGUUAUCCGGAUUUAUUGGGUUUAAAGGGUGCGUAGGCGGAACGUUAAGUCAGCGGUAAAAUUGCGGGGCUCAACCCUGUACCGCCGUUGAAACUGGCGUUCUGGAGUGGGCGAGAAGUAUGCGGAAUGCGAGGUGUAGCGGUGAAAUGCAUAGAUAUCACGCAGAACUCCGAUUGCGAAGGCAGCAUACCGGCGCCCAACUGACGCUGAGGCACGAAAGCGUGGGGAUCGAACAGGAUUAGAUACC
rnacentral:rRNA from 1 species